AACGCACAUUGCGCCCCCCGGUAUUCCGGGGGGCAUGCCUGUUCGAGCGUCACAAAAACACCCUCAGGCUUCGGCUUGACGUUGGGCGAUUUGGGCCACCACACUUGUACCCUGGAAUUAAGGUCGUUGGUCAAUCCAGCGGACGCUCCUAGCCCUAUUUCUUCGUGGUCCACGCCUUAAAAACAUUGGCAGCGGCGCGGAGCCCGUAGCGUACCAAAGACCCCCCAUAGUCUGCGCUAAAAGGGCCCCGGUGAUCCGUUUUCGCCCCCACAAAUGACCCCCACUAUACCAAAAUUUUGACCUCGGAUCAGGUAGGGAUACCCGCUGAACUUAA
rnacentral:misc_RNA from 1 species